rnacentral:lncRNA from 1 species
UUCACUUUCUCUCAUCCUCCUUUCAUUUCCUAGUACUCACUGACACCUAACCUCUCCCUGAUGCUUCCUUUUGGCAAUCCUUUAGUGUACUGUUUAUUCCUUCUCUCAUACUCCUCAUUCCCUCACUCACUCAGCUGAUUACAAAGACUGAAAACCCCUUGCUUCACAUGAUCACUUCAAUUCUCUGCUUACAUUUUUAUCCAUCUUUCACUCCCCCAACAACUUUGGAGAGGUAUCUUCAGUGUACAUCAGUAUACAUAUUAUCUACCUAUUAGAAUACAAACUUCUUGAAGUGUAUCACUACAGAACUUUUGGAGUGAUGGCCAGUCAAUCUAACACUUAUACAGCAUUGGGUAUUAAUGGCUUAAUGGGCUAUACCUCCCAGAUUUAGCUGUAUUGGAGAGCAGUGUUUGUUCUUCCAUUCUAUCACAAGGGACUUCAAGAGAGAUGAAAAGCUCUUUUUUUGAGAUAUGUUCAGUUACUGCAUUUUAGAAUUCAUUUUAAAAAUGCCCAGUGGCUGAGAUAUUCAGAUUUUCUUUAAUUCAAAAUUUUGUGGAAAGAUUAGGAGUACUUUUAUUGUAUUCAAUUCAUAUUCUUUCCCAGAAGCCCAACGUAUCUACUAUUGACAAUUCUUGUUUUUCUAGGAAAUUCUGCUUUGUGGAUUAGUUUGCUUUCUUACAUUUAGUAUAAUGUCACAACGUAAAAGGAAAAAAAAAUACCUAUUUCAAUAUUUUGCCUAUAGAAGGUAUUUAGUGAAAGUAU